rnacentral:rRNA from 1 species
GACGAACGCUGGCGGCGUGCUUAACACAUGCAAGUCGAACGGAAAGGCCCUGCUUUUGUGGGGUGCUCGAUUGGCGAACGGGUGAGUAACACGUGAGUAUCCUGUCCUUGACUUUGGGAUAACUUCAGGAAACUGCGGCUAAUAUCGCAUAGGAGCUCCUACAGCAUGUGGGGGGUUGGAAAGUUUCGGCGGUUGUGGAUGGACUAGCGGCUUAUCAGCUUGUUGGUGGGGUAGUGGCGUACCAAGGCUUUGACGGGUAGCCGGCCUGACAGGGUGACCGGCCACAGUGGGACUGGGGUGCGGCCCAGAGUCAUACGGGAGGAAGGAGUGGAGAAUAGUGCACAAAGGGCGGAAGGCUGAAGGAGCAACGCCGCGUGCGAGAUGACGGCCUUUGGGUUGUAAACAGCUUGCGCCUGAGAAGGAGCGUGAGUAACGGUAAUGGGUAAAGAAGCACCGGCUAACUACGU